UGGCCCCUGGCGCAAUUGGCAGCGCUACAGAUUUUGAAUCUGUCGGUUGCGGGUUCGAGUCCCGCGGGGCCUAC
rnacentral:tRNA from 1 species